rnacentral:rRNA from 1 species
UGACUGUGCUAAGGUAGCAUAAUCAAUUGGCUUUUAAUUGAAGUCUAGUAUGAACGGAUUUACGUAAAAGUUCUGUCUCAAUUAAAAUUUUUUUAAAUUUUUUAAGAGGUGAAAAAACCUUUAAUAUUUAAAAGACGAGAAGACCCUAAGAAUUUUAAAAAAAUUAACUUAUCUUUUUUGCUGGGGCGGCAAUGGAUCAUGAAACAUCCAUAUU